AGGUCGAUAGUUUAAUUGGCAAAACAACGGUCUCCAAAACCGUAGUCAUAGGUUCGAUCCCUAUUCGGUCUG
rnacentral:tRNA from 2 species